GUGGGGAAUAUUGGACAAUGGGCGAAAGCCUGAUCCAGCCAUGCCGCGUGUGUGAAGAAGGUCUUCGGAUUGUAAAGCACUUUAAGCGAGGAGGAGGCUACCGAGAUUAAUACUCUUGGAUAGUGGACGUUACUCGCAGAAUAAGCACCGGCUAACUCUGUGCCAGCAGCCGCGGUAAUACAGAGGGUGCAAGCGUUAAUCGGAUUUACUGGGCGUAAAGCGCGCGUAGGUGGCCAAUUAAGUCAAAUGUGAAAUCCCCGAGCUUAACUUGGGAAUUGCAUUCGAUACUGGUUGGCUAGAGUAUGGGAGAGGAUGGUAGAAUUCCAGGUGUAGCGGUGAAAUGCGUAGAGAUCUGGAGGAAUACCGAUGGCGAAGGCAGCCAUCUGGCCUAAUACUGACACUGAGGUGCGAAAGCAUGGGGAGCAAACAGGAUUAGAUACCCCUGUAGUCC
rnacentral:rRNA from 1 species